UACAGAGGUCUCAAGCGUUGUUCGGAUUCAUUGGGCGUAAAGGGCGCGUAGGCUGCGGGGUAAGUCGGGUGUGAAAUCUCAGAGCUCAACUCUGAAACUGCACUCGAUACUGCUUUGCUUGAGGACUGGAGAGGAGAUUGGAAUUCACGGUGUAGCAGUGAAAUGCGUAGAUAUCGUGAGGAAGACCAGUGGCGAAGGCGGAUCUCUGGACAGUUCCUGACGCUGAGGCGCGAAGGCCAGGGGGAGCGAACGGGG
rnacentral:rRNA from 1 species